rnacentral:rRNA from 1 species
UGCCUGUUUUAUCAAAAACAUGUCUGUUUGAAGAUAUAAAAAGUCUGGCCUGCCCACUGAAAAAUAUAUAAAGGGCCGCGGUAACCUGACCGUGCAAAGGUAGCAUAAUCGUUAGUUUUUUAAUUGGAAUCUUGUAUGAAUGGUUGGACAAAAGAAUAGCUGUCUCUAUAUUUAUCUUGAAUUUAACUUUUAAGUGAAAAGGCUUAAAUAUUUUAAAAAGACGAUAAGACCCUGUAAAGUUUAAUAACUUCCUUUAUUUAAUUGAAUUAUGUUAUAAUAAUUAAGUAAAGAGGAUUUAUUUUGUUGGGGCGACAAUGAUAUAAUGUCUAUUAACUGUUUACAUAAAAAACAAAUAUUUGUGAUUAUAUUAUAUUAAUGAUCCUUUAAUUAAGAUUAAAAGUUUAAGUUACUUCAGGGAUAACAGCGUUAUUUUUUUUGAGAGUUCUUAUCGAAAAAAAAGUUUGCGACCUCGAUGUUGAAUUAAAAUUUCUUUAUAAUUGCAGAAGUUAUAAGAGAGGGUCUGUUCGACCUUUAAAUUUUUACAUGAUUUGAGUUCAAACCGGCGUAAGCCAGGUUGGUUUCUA